AUUUUGCAGAACCUUUGGUUUUUAACGUGAAGAUAUUGUGAUUUCCUGAUCAGAUGAUCGGGCUACGACAAUCAUUCCAAGAGUGGGUUUCUUGUAUUUUCUUGACACUCUUUAUGAGAUUCUUCGUGGGUUUUUCUUCCUUGGUUUGGCAGAUUCUGCUUUUGGUGGUAGUCCGAGCUUUCGGUAAUUUUUUGUUGAUUUCAAUGGAUUGAGACAAUAAGAAGUUUUGAUGGUCUGAUCGAGUUUGAGUUUUCGUGUAUCCCUUGAAUCAUUUAAGGAAUCUGGGUUUCUGGUAUUUUCUUCAUACUCAUAUCAUCUUUCUAUUUUUCCUCCUCUUUGUGGUAUCAACAGGAGUUUUAUAAAUACGUUAGUGGAAUCUGCUUCUGCGUUUUGAGAUUUUAUUUUCCAUUAUUUGAUCCGUUCAAAAGGCUUUGUUUGGUGUUUCUAUUAGUUUCUUUGGUACUCCGGGAUUGCACCAAGUGGUUGUUCAGGCUGGUGGUGAUGCAGUAUCUUUAUUUGGUUUCUGAUGGUUAUUUCGAAUUAUGUUUUGUUAGUUACUUGGAAUAUCUUCACUCUUUGGUAAUACAGAAAACAAUUUUCUGUGGUGAUUCUUUACCCGCUGAUGGAAGUUGUCGGAUAUUAAUGGAAAAGAGGUUUAAGAUUUUUCAAUGUUUUACAUGUUGACUUCUUGUUCAAUGGUUUCAGCUUGUGUUUGGGGGGAGUUAUAGUGGAGAUUGGUUAUUUUAUAAGGUGAUCUGGAGGUGAAUGUAUUCGUUGUACACUGCAACCAACCUUAUGCUGGUGAUCUGUAACCUUUCCCAGUCUGUGCAAUGUAGACUUUUUUUCGUUCUUUUCAUAUAAAAAGCCUUAGGUUCUUCGAUGCUUCUUGUGCAGGUAGCUUCGACAGUAGCAAUCGGUCUAUAUGUAUUACGCAUCAUUUUACCUUUUUCUUAUUCUAUUUUUUCCAUCUCUUUUCACCUUCAUUCUGGUAUUUUUCCCCCUUCCUGUUUGCAGAAACUGCUUAUCAGUGUUGCUGGUGACCAUCCAAUUCCAAAGCGUUAAUUGUCUUUACUGGACUUUGGAAACUUGAGCUGCUACUUUAAUGGACUUGAAUUUAAUUUGUUGAAAUAUCUAUCUUUUUCUAUAACUCUCGCUCUAGAUGGCAGAUAUUGGGUUUACCUACUAAGGUGAUAUGUGGCUGUUGGCAUUGAUCGGGAAGAAUAGAAGUUUAGGUUUUGGCAAAGAUUGACGCAAUACUGAACUUCUCCUAGGAAUUGCAGUCUCUUAAUGUCAGAGAGCUCUUUAGGUGCAAUAACUUGUUUUAUAACACUCUUUCCUAGUCUUUUAAGCAUUGGGAUUUCAGUAUUACCCUAUUUCUGAUUUAUACUGAUCCAUUACUCCUUUUUUGAGUAAUCACUGUUUGUAACUGGAUAUGUUUUUUUGUUUCUUUCCAUAUUUCCAUUUCCUCCCCUACCUAGUAGGUGGUGGCUGUUCAGUCUUCUAAAACUUUUGUAGCAUUGAAAUUGAAGGAUAAUGGGGAAGCUCUAAUUAUGAAAGUUCAUUUUUCUUUCCUUGGACUCAAAUUUACCUGCCAUUCUGCAUGUAUUUAUAAGAACAUUCACAAUUAUACACCUGCUUGUCAGUUUUCCAUGUAUAUAUUUGUUUCUGAAGGGGUAUUCCACGACAAGAGGUUGCCAGUCACAAUUAUAUGUUGUACUUUGGUUAGACCAACUAUUCCACAUAUUUCUCUUACUGUUUAUCCUUAGCGUUCAUAGUAAUAGGCAGUUCUGAAGCUAAAUUAUGAUUUCCUGUCAUUUGUUUGGGAUAAUAUUAUUAUUUUCACGUUAGUAUUUAUAAUUUAUCUUUUGGGAUACGCAGAUGAUAUUUUGGUGGACAGUAAUGCCAUAUGGAGAAGGGGCAUAAAAUAGAUUUUUUGGCUUCACCUAGAUUAUGGCAUCCUAUCUUUGCUAACCUGAUCACGCUUGGUUUUUUUCACCAUAAUAGAUUUUUGUCAUUGUUUAUUUAUUUCCUCUCCUUCAUAUUCUUUUUUUAUAGGUCGAGUUGUUCAGUUUCAGUCAUCAUAAGAUUUGGAGAUGGAGGACUCAAAUUUUUGCAUCUUGAAUCUAUGUACGGUGUUUAUAAAUGCACACAACCUUUGACUUCGAUUGAAAAAUUAAGUGUUUUAGUAGUGUUAAAGGUGGUGGUGAUUUGGAACCUACUAUGAUCUGUUUUGCAAAGAAUGAAGUUCUUGUCUAUUAUUUCUUUCUUUAAAAAAAAAGCUUCUUUAGGUGUUUUUAUGCGUUGCUUUAUUCCUUUUGCAGUCUUUAAGUGGUUGAUAGUGGGGAAAGCAAUAUCGUUUAUUGUUUGAUGUAGUUUGUUUUAAAUCAUGUUCUUGUGAGUUGAUUGGAAUAUUAGCAUCACUUUCAUAUUGGUACAGAAUCUGGUUUUUCCUUUGGUGCUUCAUCCACAGCUGGAAAUUCUUUUGGUCAAAUAAUAAUGGAUACUUAUGGAAGAAAUGGUGUAAGAUUUUCAUUUAUUUUCCUUAAUUUAUUUCUGGUUCAUCAGUCUCAGUUGUGUGUGGGGGGAGUUCGAGUUUGAUCAUUUUAUGAGGACUGAGGCCGUGUGAAGGGGAACUUAUUCAUUGUUCACUGCAGCUACAUAUGGAUUGGUAAAAUUGAAAUUUUUCUCAGAUUUUGCUAAUGGAACUUAUCCAUUGUUCUCUGAUGUGUUUCUCCCCUUGCAGAUAGAUUUGACAGGGAUUGGAUGACACUUGGUAGCUGUUAAGGUGUAAAGCUUAUUUGUGGUGUUGGUUUACGAGUUUAUUGGCCUUUUUAGCUAGUUUGUUCUAUCUUUCUAGACAGGACCGUCUACUUGAAAGAAAGGAUUUCAUUUGAAAUUCUUCUCGGAGUCUCACCUUCAGAGGUUCUGGAAUUACAAUCUAAGUGGUUUUCAGGGUGGUGGGGAUAUCAAUACCAUUAAAAUUGUUUGCUGUGGUUUGUUUUAAGGGCCUGUUUGGGAGCGAUUUUUUCCCCCAAAAAAUUGAUUUUUUGACCGUUAUUUCACUUUUUCAGCAUCAUAUUUGACUUCUUCUCUUACGGGUGGAUCCCACUUUUCUUAUAAUAGUCAAAAAAUCAAUUCUCAAAAUCACACCCAAACAGGCUCUAAAUGAUAUAUUUUUGAGAGUUCUUUGGAAUGUGAUUUUCAUCCUCAUAUGGUACAGACUCUGGUUUCUAUUGGUGCCUUCUCAUACACUGCUGAAGCCCUUGCGUCAACUAAUAAUGGAUACUUCUGGAAGAAAGGGUGUAAAUUUUUCUCUUUUCUUUGUUCAUUUCUGAUUCGUUAGUCUCAGUAUGUGCGCUGGAGAGUUUAUGAGGAUUCUGAUUAUUUUAUGAGGUCUGAGGGCGUGUGAAGGGGAAAUUUUUUGUUGUUUACUGCAAUAUUUGCGUAGGUGAUUUGAAACCUAUAUGGCCUUUGCUCUGUACAUGAAAUGGAAUUUGGACUUUUUUCAGUCUCUUAUAUAAAAUGCCUUAGCUUUUUUCAUGUUUCUCCCUGUGCAGAUAGAUUUUAUCAGAUGACGACACAUGGGUCAGGUAACUAAUGAGGGUAUAAAGUUUGUGUGUAGUCGGUUUAUGAAUUUGGUAGUUCUCUCUGCCUUUCUGGAUCUUCAACUUGAAAGAAAAAAUUCAUUGGAACCUGCUUCUUGGGGUCUCACCUUCAGGGGUAUUCUUGUUGGAUGAAAGCAACGUACACUUAUAAAGACUAAGCUCCCUCAAAAACACUGUCUGUUUGGAGAUAUCAAUAAUUGUAGUUAUCAUGAGUUGUCCUCUAUACAUAAACUCGGCAUGUACUGCACAGGAAUUUUCAAUAUUGCCCAAUGACAGUUCUUUGGAAGUUAUAAAGAUUAUUCACCAGUUGAUAACUUCUAUGCUACGGUACUGAUAUGCAUAAAAAGUAAAAUUGAUUGGAUGGUAAUUUCCUGUUCUGCACACGAGUACUUUUCUUGUCAGAAUCUGAUGUUGGGCUCUUUAGACUGUUGCUUCAAUUUGCACAUAUUUUUUUAAUUAAAAAUUUGCACAAUUGCAAUGAGAUGGAUAUUCGUUUAUUUUUAACCCACUGAUCUCACAACUUGGGAUCUUUUGUAGGUGAAGUCUUUAUAAAUAUAACCGUCGAAAGUUAUAGCGGACUCAAACUUUUGCUCUUCGAUCUGUGGAUGGGCAAAAAGUAUUUGGUGGAUGGGGGUAAAAUCAAUAUUCUAAUGUCGAAUCAAGAUCAACUAGGACAAGCAAAGGUUGGUGUUUAACUACCGGUAAUACUGUGUAAUCUAUUGCCUCAUUUUCUAUAACCCUAUUUUCAGCUAGGUGGUCAUCCUUGUACAUAAGCCUUGGAUUUGGUUAAUGCUUCUUAAUGUUCAGAUGGAGAUUUUCGAGUAA